AACGAACGCUGGCGGCAUGCCUAACACAUGCAAGUCGAACGGGACCUUCGGGUCUAGUGGCGCACGGGUGCGUAACGCGUGGGAACCUGCCUUUAGGUUCGGAAUAACUCAGAGAAAUUUGAGCUAAUACCGGAUGAUGUCUUCUGACCAAAGAUUUAUCGCCUUUAGAUGGGCCCGCGUUGGAUUAGCUAGUUGGUGGGGUAAAGGCCUACCAAGGCGACGAUCCAUAGCUGGUCUGAGAGGAUGAUCAGCCACACUGGGACUGAGACACGGCCCAGACUCCUACGGGAGGCAGCAGUGGGGAAUAUUGGACAAUGGGCGAAAGCCUGAUCCAGCAAUGCCGCGUGAGUGAUGAAGGCCUUAGGGUUGUAAAGCUCUUUUACCCGAGAUGAUAAUGACAGUAUCGGGAGAAUAAGCUCCGGCUAACUCCGUG
rnacentral:rRNA from 1 species